GACGAACGCUGGCGGCGUGCCUAAUACAUGCAAGUCGAACGCAGUGGGGACGGGUGAGUAACACGUGGGUAACCUCCCAUCAGAGGGGAUAACACUUGGAAACAGGUGCUAAACCGAUACUGAUGGAUGGAACCGCGGUGCAUUAGCUAGUUGGUGGGGUAACGGCUCACCAAUGCCACGAUGCAUAGCGGGCCUGAGAGGGUGAUCGGCCACACGGGGACUGAGACACGGCCCAGACUCCUACGGGAGGCAGCAGUAGGGAAUAUUCGGCAAUGGACGAAAGUCUGACCGAGCAACGCCGCGUGAAUGAAGAAGGUUUUCGGAUCGUAAAGCUCUGUUGUUAGAGAAGCGGUAUCUAACCAGAAAGCCACGGCUAACUACGUGCCAGCAGCCGCGGUAAUUC
rnacentral:rRNA from 1 species